rnacentral:lncRNA from 1 species
CCAGGUCUGAGGGUCACGAUCACAGUGCCAGCGGGAAACACCAGGCAUCAGCGGCCCCCGCUGUGCUUGGCAUAAGCCUUUCUGUCCCCGGAUAAUCAGGAGCUCAGGAGUUAGGGUCUCAGCACUGGUACUGGGAACCCAGUGUUUCAUGAUCCCAACCCUACACCAUGCACACGGCCACCCCACACUCAGGACAUCUUCCGAGAGUGCGACCGAGACCAUUCAGGCACCCUGAACUCCUACGAGAUGCGCCUGGCAGUGGAGAGGGCCGGUGGCUGGGGCAGGCAGGGCUGCGGGGUGCAGGGGGGCCACGUCCAGAGGCCCACACUGUCCCCUUCCCACCCCUCAAUCCCAGGCAUUAAGUUGAACAACGAGGUGGUGGAGGUGCUGGCGGCUCGAUAUGCAGACGACAACCUGACCCUGGACUUGGACAACUUCCUCUGCUGUUUCCUGAGGCUGAAGGCUGUGUUCAACCUGGACUCCGCUCUCAGCCCGUGCCCGGCCGCCUCUCUAACACAGCCUUUGUUCUAACCAUGGACCCCAAGAACACCGGCUAGAUCCGCUUAAACCUGGAGCAGGUGUGUGGGGAUGCCAGGAGGGGUGUCCGGGUUUCCCCCAGGCUACUGCUGUUGCCCACCUGCCCCUGCCACCCCACCCUUCAGCCUGCUCUUGUCUCCACCGUGGCUGCAGAUAACUCUGUGAGGGGAGCCAGCUCCCCCUGCCUGCAGGGUCUGAGGGCCAGGUGCUCGGUGCCACCCUAGGGCCAGGUCCCUGCAGAGGGCAUGGGCUCCACAUGCCAAAGUUACUCCAUGCCUGCCCUCCCAGCUCAAAUCCCCCUCUCCCCACCCCUGCCAGGCUUCUAGUGCCUGGGUCGGCCCCACGGGCUCGAGCUCUUUCUGAAUCUGUUUUACUAAAAAUUAAGUGACACUUCCCCAGCAUCCCCUGUCCACACCCACCUGCGCCUGGCACUCACCCCCUCACCUGUGGACAGUACUGUAAUAAAUGCCGCCUGCCACCCAUUCCCCAGUUCUGUGUCUCCAUGCUAUGAAAAGACAAGAGCAAAGAGGGGUGUCCCGUCGCUCUCAGAGGAAGGGGAUAGCACCU